GAUGAACGCUGGCGGCGUGCCUAAUACAUGCAAGUCGAGCGAACAGACGAGGAGCUUGCUCCUCUGACGUUAGCGGCGGACGGGUGAGUAACACGUGGAUAACCUACCUAUAAGACUGGGAUAACUUCGGGAAGCCGGAGCUAAUACCGGAUAAUAUAUUGAACCGCAUGGUUCAAUAGUGAAAGACGGUUUUGCUGUCACUUAUAGAUGGAUCCGCGCCGCAUUAGCUAGUUGGUAAGGUAACGGCUUACCAAGGCGACGAUGCGUAGCCGACCUGAGAGGGUGAUCGGCCACACUGGAACUGAGACACGGUCCAGACUCCUACGGGAGGCAGCAGUAGGGAAUCUUCCGCAAUGGGCGAAAGCCUGACGGAGCAACGCCGCGUGAGUGAUGAAGGUCUUCGGAUCGUAAAACCCUGUUAUUAGGGAAGAACAAAUGUGUAAGUAACUAUGCACGUCUUGACGGUACCUAAUCAGAAAGCCACGGCUAACUACGUG
rnacentral:rRNA from 1 species